CCCGAUACGUAACGCCAUCUGGAGGAUAGCUAGGCUCGGACGCUGAAGAAGGGCGUGGCAAGCUGCGAAAAGCCUCGGGUAGGUGCAUGCAACCUAAGAUCCGAGGGUACCUGAAUAGGACUUCCUGCUAUAGCUAGUCUAUGGCACUCCUCAACAGGAGAAGGAACCCCCUGAAUGGAAACAUCUUAGUAAGGGGAGGAAGAGAAAUCAAACGAGAUUCCCUUAGUAGCGGCGAGUGAAACGGGAAAAGUUCAAACUGAAUCUUAUGGGGAAACCCAUAGGAGAUGUAGGGUUGUGGACCUGGUUGCUAUCUCGUCAAUGAAGCCGAAGUGACCUGGAAAGGUCUGUCGAAGAGGGUGAUAACCCCGUAGGCGUAAACUGACAGGUAUUGAACCGGUGUUCCUGAGUACCAAGCCUUGGUUUUGGUUUGGGAAUCUGGGAGGCAUCAACUUCCAAAACUAAAUACGUUCCGAGACCGAUAGUGUACUAGUACGGUGACGGAAAGCUGAAAAGUACCCCGAGAGGGGGGUUAAAAGAACUUGAAACCAGAUGGUUUUAGACGUGCGUAGCCUGAAAGGGUAGAUUCCUUUCGAAGGAAAUCAUGGCAACGUGACAGUACGAGGAAGGAGGACCAGGGUUACGCGUUCCGUCUUGAAGCACGGGCCAGGGAGUUCAUGGUCAUGGCGAGCUUAAGGGUUUUGCAACCUGUAAGCGUAGGGAAACCAAUACGCCCGCAGCAGAUUUAUCUGUCAGGGGCAGGGUCUGAAAGGGCCUGGAGUCAUGGCUUUGAGACUAGAAACCGGACGAUCUAGCCCUGGGCAGGGUGAAGCCGCGCGAAAGUUCGGUGGAGGCCCGAAGGGAAGUUGACGUGCAAUUCACUCCUCUGACCUGGGGCUAGGGGCGAAAGACCAAUCUAGUCCGGUGAUAGCUAGUUCCCUCCGAAGUAUGUCGUAGCAUAGUCCAGAGCGAGGUUGCCAAUGGGGUAGAGCACUGAUCGGGAAGUAAGGAUCCGAAAGGUUUCACUUUUCAUUCAAACUCCGAAUACGUUGGCGCUGUAGACCUUUGGAAUCGGGUGCUGGGGGGUAAGCCCCCAUGGCCGAAAGGGAAGCAACCCAGACCGAGGUUAAGGUCCCAAAAUGCUGACUAAGUGUCAGACAAGAGGGUGUCCUCUGCCUUAGACAAUGGGAAGGUAGGCUUAGAAGCAGCCAUCCUUUAAAGAAAGCGUAACAGCUCACCCACCGAGGCAGAGGGCCCCGCAAAUAGACGGGGCUAAGUCAGCUACCGAUACCUCGGGGUACGAUCUGUGAUCGUAAUCCGGUAGGAGGGCGUUCCGCUUGGGUAGAAGCAGGGUCGUGAGGUCCUGUGGACCGGGUGGAAUUGUAGAUCCUGGUGGUAGUAACAGCAUAGUCAGGUGAGAAUCCUGACCGCCGAAUGGGCCCGGGUUCCCCGGCAAUGUUCGUCAGCCGGGGGUAAGUCGGUCCUAAGGCUGACCUUAACUGGGUAAGUCGAAGGGAAACCGGUUAAUAUUCCGGUACCAUAGAGGUACGUGCGGUGACGCAAGCUUGAUAUUUGACGUUUUGGGGCAGGUUGUGCGAGGCUGUCGCCUUGUUUAACUAUUGAACCCUGGGGAGUGCCGUAAUGGCGAGAACUAGGCGAAGAUAGGAAUAGCCUCCCGUUUAGGGAGGUUCAGCUGUACCCUGGAACCAAUGAAAAGAAUUUCAAGAAGGAUCCUCUAUGUCCGUACCAAGAACCAACACAGGUGUCCCAAGGUGAGAAGCCUAAGGCGUUUCGGGUCAAUCUAGGGCGAGGGAACUCGGCAAAUUAGCCACGUAACUUAGGGAUAAGUGGUGCCUACGAUUUUAAUCUUUGAUUGGGAUUGUAGGUCGCAGUAACUUGGGGGUCCCGACUGUUCAAUACAAACAUAGGUAGCUGCAAGCGUGAAAACGUGUGUACAGCUAUUGAAUCCUGGCCAGUGGCGGUAUCUAAAACCUGGGUUCAACCGGGCUAAGGACCGCUAAACGCCGGGGGUAACUCUGACCCUCUUAAGGUAGCCAAAUGCCUUGUCGGGUAAGUUCCGACGUGCAUGAAUGGAUCAACGAGGACCCCACUGUCCCCGCCUAGAGCCCGGUGAACCUACAUUACUCGGACGAAUAGUCCGGGGAUUUCCAGCGGGAAAAGAAGACCCCGUGGAGUUUUACUGCAGCCUGUUGCUGGGAUGUGGCCACUAACGCAGAGCGUAGGCGGGAGCUGUCGAUUCCAAUCUUUCCGGAGAUUGGUGGAGGCGCCAAUGGAACACCGCCCUUUAGUUGUUAUCUCUCUUACUGGAGCGAACGCUUCAGGACAACGGCAGGUGGGCAGUUUGGCUGGGGCGGCACCCCCUUGAAAAAGAAUCGAGG
rnacentral:rRNA from 1 species